GGAGAGAUGUCCGAGCGGUUUAAGGAGGUAGUCUUGAAAACUACUAUAGGGGAAACCCUAUCGGGGGUUCGAAUCCCUCUCUCUCCG
rnacentral:tRNA from 1 species